rnacentral:lncRNA from 1 species
GGGUGGGGGGGGGGCUCACCACGAAGCCUGGAUCGGUGGCCCUCACCCCCGUCCCCUCCCAUCUGGUCUUCGCCCAUAGAUGUCUCUAAGCUCACAGACACCAUCUGUGGGGUGGGGAACAUGUCCGUCAAUGCCUCUGACCAGGAGAGGACACCUUGGCAAGUCACCUUUAAGGUAUCAGGAAGGAGGGGCAGGGUUCGGGUCACAGAGGUUUAAAAGCAGCCAGGCACGGCAAACCCGGACUGCUGUCUCUUCCCUGCAGCCCAAGAGUAAGGAGACUUGCCAGGGGUCGCUUAUCUCUGACCAGUGGGUGCUGACUGCGGCUCACUGCUUCCAUGACGCUCAGAUGGAGGACCGCCACCUGUGGAGGGUCAUCGUGGGUAAGUCAGGGGCUGCAGGGGACCGACCCCUCACCCGCAAGGCCAGAGUCACCACUGUCUCUCCUCAGCCUUUGGUCCGGUCUAACCCACUGCUGUUCUCAG